ACGUAGUAACCAACCCUUUAGACUGGGAUAGCCACUGGAAACGGUGGGUAAUACCGGAUAAGCUCGAGAGAGGAAAGGCAGAGAAGCGCUAAAGGACGGAACUGCGCCCCAUCAGAUAGUUGGUGAGGUAAAGGCUUACCAAGUCAAAGACGGGAAACCGACGUGAGAGCGUGUACGGUCACAAGGGCACUGAGAGACGGGCCCUACUCCUACGGUUUUUUUCAGUGGGGAAUAUUGGACAAUGGACUAUAGUCUGAUCCAG
rnacentral:rRNA from 1 species